ensembl:lncRNA
UGUAACCUCAAACAUCCAGAUAGAAAAGAGCAAAUGUUGAAAAUAUUGCCAGUGUUUCUCCACUUACCCCUACAAAGCCAUAAGAGGUUGCCAAGGACACCUUGGAUGGGCUCUGCCAGCACACAGCUCUUUGCUCUUUCCUUGGCGGUUUGUGACACGACUGAGGGGUGACCCAGCAGCAGCAGUGAGGAGAGCACCCUUGCCACCUGCUUGGGCCUUUGUGUGGACACACUGGGAAGACUAGGAAUUGCUCAACCACCGUGGAGCCUGGAACACGAGUGCUCUCCAGUACCCUGUGAAGUUGCACUGCAGCUAUCAUGAGAAAUGAAACAAUGCUCUUCAUCCUGGUUCCUGGAAAAAGACAGAAAUAUGGUAUUUCACCAGAAAAGUCUGUCCAAGUAGGAACUGCAAGGCGACUGCCCUGCCUGGGGAAAGAAAUUGGCAGCAGCUGUAAGUUCCUGUUGACCAUAAAAGCAACUAUUUGCAGAGAAGGGGAUGCAGAGGCUAUGGCUGCUACCUCCCAGUGCCCACGACAGCUAUGUCUAGCCAUAGCAGCAGCAUCCUGCAGGUUCAUCUGCUGACUGCCUCCUUAUUCUUGUGCAUCACGGCUGAGAUACUUCAGAGUCCUUGCCCUCAUGUUACUGAAAUGCUGAGCUUGGUUUCUUUGCUCAGUGAGUCAGAUCAGCUUCAGAGGCAGAAACAGUGAAAUAUACAUACUGCUUUGCAUUUUUAAUGCUUAUAAAUAGGCAUUUACCAAAUGGGCAGGGAGCCUUUAAGCAGCAGAACAAAUGUUAUAGCUUUAUGACUAAUCGUUGCAACAAAUUCUUACUGUGGAGUUCUGAUUAAUAAACC